rnacentral:misc_RNA from 1 species
AAGUCGUAACAAGGUAACCGUAGGUGAACCUGCGGUUGGAUCAUUAAAGAAUUUUUUCUGAAUAUGGAUUUUAAUUAAGUAAAAUUAAUUGAAAUCUAUGCCUUGAAAAAAGGUUUUACUCCAAAGUGAACUGUAUAUGUACUUCCGUGGGGUCGGAUCUCACUUUCCGUUUUUCGUGUUAAUUCUCUAUUCUCUUUACUUGAAAGAUUAGAAGAAAUUACAUGAAAAUAGAAUGAAUCCGGACAUUGCCCCACGGAUAUUUUUGUGUGAAACAAAGCUUGUUUUCUUUAGUUUAUUCGUUUUAAAUAUGUUUUCCAAUAAAUAUUUUGAAACAACUUUUGACAACGGAUCUCUUGGCUCUC